UGGGGAAUUUUGGACAAUGGGGGCAACCCUGAUCCAGCCAUGCCGCGUGUGUGAAGAAGGCCUUCGGGUUGUAAAGCACUUUCGGCCGGAACGAAAUCGCGCGRUCUAAUAANUCGCGUGGAUGACGGUACCGKAAGAAGAAGCACCGGCUAACUACGUGCCAGCAGCCGCGGUAAUACGUAGGGUGCGAGCGUUAAUCGGAAUUACUGGGCGUAAAGUGUGCGCAGGYGGCCGMGCAAGUCGAGUGUGAAAUCCCCGRGCUUAACUUGGGAAUUGCGCUCGAAACUACKUGGCUSGAGUGUGGCAGAGGAAGGUGGAAUUCCACGUGUAGCGGUGAAAUGCGUAGAGAUGUGGAGGAACACCGAUGGCGAAGGCAGCCUUCUGGGCCAACACUGACGCUCAUGCACGAAAGCGUGGGGAGCAAACAGGAUUAGAUACCCUGGUAGUCCACGCCCUAAACGAUGAUGACUAGUUGUUGGGGGAGUUAAAUCCCUUAGUAACGCAGCUAACGCGUGAAGUCAUCCGCCUGGGGAGUACGGUCGCAAGAUUA
rnacentral:rRNA from 1 species